UAAGUGAAAUAUUCACCCCUUUAAAGGAAUUGCUCUAAUUAAACAAAAGUCCAGCCAACUGGUGACAGUCAUCUCACAAUGAGCGGAAUGGAGAUCAGCUACAAUCUUUAUCUUUAUACUACAAUCUCAAAUGAUUGUAGUAUAAAGAUACAUGUGUCUGGAGGCUCCAUUUAUUUGUUAUUCCUGGCUACCAUUAUGGCAUAAACACUAUAGGACACUCCAAGCAAAUCAGCAAAAAGGUUGUUGAAAAGUAUCAGAGGAUGGAUACAACAAGGCCCUAAACGUCCCCUGGCGUUCAGCUCCAACAUCAAGAAAUGGAAUUAAUGUGGUUGUGUAUAUCUGCCUAGAUCAUGCCAUCCUACUGCACCGAGUGACCGUGCAGGAAAGAGAACAGAGAGGACACCAAGAGCCUCAUAUAAAUGAGUGCACAGCUUUCACUCUAAAAGUUGGUGUAGUGACAAAUUUUAAAAAGUGCAGCACACAAAAAAUUCAGACAUAUAAAACCAUGCGCACGCAGAUGAUUUCUGCAACUUUUCUUUAGAAUAGAAUAGAAUAGAAUUACUUUAUUCAUCCCAGCAGGGAAAUUAUUUCGCAGUUACAGCAGCAUAGAGACAAGACACACAACAACCCAAUUUGCGUGAAAUGGAACACAACUGCUGGUGCCACAUGAACCACCCUAAGCCUACCCUGUUGGGUUCUGCAGGGGAGUGGUUUCUCUACAUUUACAGGGUGGCAGGCUGACAGGAUCCAGCUGGUGCUCAUCAAGACCAAUCAGCGAAGGCCUUAAAUAGGAGCGGCUUCCCUGAGGCAGACGCCAGAUGAUUUUGCUUCAGUAGUGGUACACUCUGGCUCUCUGUUACUGUGUUUAACUGUUCUGAUUCCUCUCUCAUCUAUUCCCUCCUCAGAGAACCAGCUCUGAUCACCCCCUGGUGCUCAGACUACCUAAUUACCCGAUCCUCGCUGCUCCGCUAAACCUAGCUCCAGGAUACCUCCACGACCACCAGCCAGCUGCUGCCUGUCCACCCUCAGUCUCAUGCUGGAACUCCUCCACCUGGAAAUCCCACACUGCACCGACUGCUGGAAAACCCAGGUACCCACCUCUGCUCAUCCUAACCCUCAGACAUUCCUCCUCUGGCCCGGUUCCUCCCUGCUGCUGCAGAUCAACGCCUCUCUAUUCUCUCCCCAUUUGCACUCAUUAUUCAAUAAAUCUGUUAAACUGCG